UCGAAUUCGUUUAUUUUGUUGUCGAUAACAAACUAUUUCCGUGAAUGGCCGACUGUCAUUCAUAAACCACGUUUCGCUUGCGACUAGUGUAAUUGUCAAGACCAGAUCAGAGGAAAGAGUCAAAAUAAGUGAAAUUGCGCUUGAUCAUUUCUACA